rnacentral:rRNA from 1 species
AAGGUUUCCGGUAGGUGAACCUGCGGAAGGAUCAUUACAGUAGUCACCCGGGUUGCCGCAAGGCCUCUCGGGUAACCUACCACCCUUUGUUUAUUACACUUUGUUGCUUUGGCAGGCCUGCCUUCGGGCUGCUGGCUCCGGCCGGCGAGCGCUUGCCAGAGGAUCUAAACUCUGUUUGUCUAUACUGUCUGAGUACUAUAUAAUAGUUAAAACUUUCAACAACGGAUCUCUUGGUUCUGGCAUCGAUGAAGAACGCAGCGAAAUGCGAUAAGUAAUGUGAAUUGCAGAAUUCAGUGAAUCAUCGAAUCUUUGAACGCACAUUGCGCCCCCUGGUAUUCCGGGGGGCAUGCCUGUCCGAGCGUCAUUACAACCCUCAAGCUCUGCUUGGUGUUGGGCCCCGCCGCCCCGGCGGGCCCUAAAGUCAGUGGCGGUGCCAUCCGGCUCCGAGCGUAGUAAUUCUUCUCGCUCUGGAGGUCCGGUUGUGUGCUUGCCAUCAACCCCCAAUUUUUUUCAGGUUGACCUCGGAUCAGGUAGGGAUACCCGCUGAACUUAAGCAUAUCAAUAAGCGGAGGAAAAGAAACCAACAGGGAUUACCUCAGUAACGGCGAGUGAAGCGGUAACAGCUCAAAUUUGAAAUCUGGCCUCACGGUCCGAGUUGUAAUUUGUAGAGGAUGCUUCGAGCAUGGUCUGGCCUAAGUUCCUUGGAACAGGACGUCAUAGAGGGUGAGAAUCCCGUAUGCGGCCAGGUGCCUACGCUCAUGUGAAGCUCCUUCGACGAGUCGAGUUGUUUGGGAAUGCAGCUCAAAAUGGGUGGUAAAUUUCAUCUAAAGCUAAAUAUUGGCCAGAGACCGAUAGCGCACAAGUAGAGUGAUCGAAAGAUGAAAAGCACUUUGGAAAGAGAGUUAAACAGUACGUGAAAUUGUUGAAAGGGAAGCGCUUGCAACCAGACUUGCGCGCGGCUGAUCAUCCGGUGUUCUCACCGGUGCACUCGGCCGUGCUCAGGCCAGCAUCGGUUUUGGCGGCUGGAUAAAGGCCCUAGGAAUGUAGCUCCUCUCGGGGAGUGUUAUAGCCUAGGGUGCAAUGCAGCCUGCUGGGACCGAGGACCGCGCUUCGGCUAGGAUGCUGGCGUAAUGGU